rnacentral:rRNA from 1 species
UUCCGGUUGAUCCUGCCGGAAGCUACUGCUCUGAGAGUAGGAUUAAGCCAUGCUAGCGGAGGGCAGUUCGGCUGCCCCGCGUAUAGCUCAGUAACACGUGGUCAAUCUACCCUUGGGACGGGAACAACCCCGGGAAACUGGGGAUAAUUCCCGAUAGGCGGGGAUUCUGGAAACGUACCUCGCUGAAACGCUCCGGCACCCAAGGAUGAGACUGCGACCUAUUAGGUAGUUGGUGAGGUAAAGGCUCACCAAGCCAAAGAUGGGUACGGGCCCUGAGAGGGGGAGCCUGGAGAUGGGGACUGAGACAAGGCCCCAGGCCCUACGGGGCGCAGCAGGUGCGAAACUUCCGCAAUGCGUGCAAGCGCGACGGAGCAACUCUCAGUGCCGAUGGUCUAACGACCGUCGGCUUUUCUGAAAUGCAAAAAGUUUCAGGUAAUAAGGGCCGGGUAAGACUGGUGCCAGCCGCCGCGGUAACACCAGCGGCUCAAGUGGUAGCCGAUUUUAUUGGGCCUAAAGCGUCCGUAGCCGGACUAGCAAGUCUUUUGUGAAAUCGGACGGCUUAAUCGUUCGGCUUGCAAGGGAAACUGCCAGUCUUGGGAUCGGUAGGCGCCAAGGGUACUCCAGGGGUAGCGGUGAAAUGCUAUAAUCCCUGGGGGACCGCCAGUGGCGAAAGCGCUUGGCGAGGCCGAAUCCGACGGUGAGGGAUGAAGGCCAGGGGCGCGAACCGGAUUAGAUACCCGGGUAGUCCUGGCUGUAAAGGAUGUGGACUAGGUGCUUGGUGUUCCUCGAGAACACUAGGUGCCGAAGGGAAGCCGUUAAGUCCACCGCCUGGGAAGUACGGUCGCAAGGCUGAAACUUAAAGAAAUUGGCGGGGGAGCACCACAAGGGGUGGAGCCUGCGGUUUAAUUGGAGUCAACGCCGGAA